rnacentral:rRNA from 1 species
UACGUAGGGGGCAAGCGUUGUCCGGAUUUAUUGGGCGUAAAGAGUUCGUAGGCGGCAUUGCAAGUAGGGUGUGAAAGCCCUCGGCUCAACCGAGGAAUUGCGCUCUAAACUGCAGUGCUUGAGGAACCUAGAGGUGAGCAGAACAGAUGGUGGAGCGGUGAAAUGCGCAGAUAUCAGGAGGAACACCGGUGGCGAAGGCGGGUCUCUGGGCCGAUACUGACGCUGAGGAGCGAAAGCGUGGGGAGCGAACAGG